GGGGAGGUCGCGGCUCCCCUGGGCGCCCGAGGACUGGAACUGCGCCCGGGAGCCGGGUUAAGACUCGCCCGGAGGACCAGAGCCGGAGUUGGUCCGAUCUUACUCCGCCCUAAACCUAUUCGAGCCGAAGCCCCAAAGGUGGUGGAUCCCCGAGUGACCGCUGCUAGUGCGGUAGCGCCAGCUUGCCCCAGUACUCGCAAUUGGCGAUCCCGAAGAGCACGCAGGGGACUGCCGAGGCAAGCUGUGGUUUUGAAGUGGUUUUGAAGUCUUUUCUCCAGCCACCCCUUAUUACCCAAGACAGGGAUUCCCCGGUGCCCAAUAACUCUCAAAUCCAAGUCUUCAGGCUCCCCCACAGAGCUUUUGAGCUCUCUGCUCUGCCUCGCUAAGAGCCUUUUACAUCCUUGGUGACUUGGGGUUUGGGGAUUGCUUGGGGCUCUAAGUAUACACCCUCUCUCCCUUACAAGAAACAACAACAACAACAACAACAACAACAACAAAAGUUGUAUGACUCCCCUACACUUCCCCACACUCCCCCACUUUCGAAAUUCAUUUACCUCAUCGCAGUUGGUCAAAUUUUCCAUUCAAAGAAGACAGUUUUAUGCUGCCAGAGCUCCAAGCAAUAAAUUGAACCCUGUUGAAAUUAAGUCUUGGAUGCGACAACUCCCAGCGAAGGCAAGACUUGGUCCAACAGAGAUUGUUUUCAACACAGCCUUGCAGUAUUCAGUCUCAUGGAAUGUCAUGGAGACUGGCUCCACCUCCCAUGACAUCGAUUGGAAUGCCCUGCUGAUAUUGCAUGGAUCUACAUUUGGACCUGGCUGGGAACCCCCCUGCCUCAGGGUGAAGGGACAAGAAAACAUUUCCCAAACUGUUAUAAACCCCCUGUUGCUCCACAAAGAAACAGUUACCAGAGGGAAAUUUGACUGACUUCCCACUCCUGAGAGCUGAAAAACAUGGAGAUGGAAAAUGAAGGAGACUGCUUCCAGUUUCUCAAGCCACAAAUCUUUAUUCUGUCCCUUGUGUGAAGACUGCAGCUUACCUACCUGAAGGAAUGCCUUGAUCUUUGUGAACCCAGUGAUUUUGACAGGACUACUGUUUACUCAUUGUGAAUGGACUAGCAUAAACUCUAAAAGAUCUUAUGCUGGUUCAGAAAAAAAAUAGGAAAAUAGAACUCAGGAUUGAAAUAUUUUGAUACAUUAUUUUGCCCAAUUGAAAUAUUUUUCAUAAAAUAAAGUGAAAUAAAAC
rnacentral:lncRNA from 1 species